rnacentral:rRNA from 1 species
UGGGGAAUAUUGGACAAUGGGGGGGAACCCGUGAUCCAGCGACGCCGCGUGAGUGAAGAAGUAUUUCGGUAUGUAAAGCUCUAUCAGCAGGGAAGAAAGAAAUGACGGUACCUGACUAAGAAGCCCCGGCUAACUACGUGCCAGCAGCCGCG